UGAGAUACUUGGUGGGCAGAAUGAAUCGGGAAGGAUCGGAACAUUAAACACCAUCGUGGUGGUGUUUUUUUUUUGUUUUGUUUUGUUUUGUUUUUUUAAAUCUUAAGAGCACCUUGCGGAUUCCUCUGCAGUAGUUCUUCUUGCAUUUUGCCAAGAUCACACAAGACAAACUGGGAGUCUAAACACCGGACUUUACACUAUUCGCGCAACCACAAUCACUAACUAGCCGUGCUCUGUACAGCGCCCGGCUGCUUGCAGUCAUGUCCACCGCAAGGGUGGACUACAUUGCUCCAUGGUGGACUUAUUGGCUGCACAAUUUUCCUCACGUCAACCUCCGAUUUAAGCCCGUGGACAGCAGCUUUAACCCGCAGGAGGAGAACUAUCAGCAGUCCCUGAUCUUCCUGGUGUGCGUGGUAGCCGCUGGCCUGGGCCUCAACCUGCUCUUCCUGGCUAUCUACCUGGGCUGCCUGUGCUGCUGCCGGAGUGACAAGGAGGAGAACGAGGAGGAGACCAAGAGACCCAAAUCCUGCUGUGUCACCUGGACAGCGGUCAUUGCAGGGCUCCUCUGCUGUGCUGCUGUUGGCGUUGGUUUCUACGGAAACAGUGAAAUGAACGAUGGCGUGUACCAGCUGGCCUACUCACUCUACCAUGCCAAUCACACCCUAAAUGGAGUCGACACCCUGGUUUCGGGCACGAUAGACAGCAUGCAGAGCAGUCUGAAGCAGCACCUGGCCCGACUGGACGAGAUCUUUGCCAUGCGCGGUGAUUACAUCCAGACCCUGCGCUUCAUACAGCAGAUGGCUGACAACAUCAUCCUGCAGCUGACCGGCCUCCCGGACUGGGGUCAAAACAAAGUGGACCUGGCCAGGAUCGCUGACCAGACCAGUUACGUGGAGUACUACAGGUGGCUCACUUACCUGCUGCUGCUGAUCCUCGACCUAGUCACCUGCCUGGUGGCCUGUCUAGGCCUGGCGAAGCAGUCUCGCUGGCUGCUCACCACAAUGAUGACGUUUGGGGUCCUGACCCUGAUCUUGAGCUGGGCAUCGCUGGGAGUGGACACAGCUACAGCAGUUGGCACCAGUGACUUCUGCGUGGCUCCAGACAAGUUCAUCAUGAACCUGACUCGCAAUGCGAUCAGCACAGAUACUGUGCAUUAUUACCUGUACUGCAGCCAGAGCAUGCCUAAUCCCUUCCAGCAGGCUAUGACAAUCUACCAGCGCUCAGUGACCACCAUGCAGAUCCAGAUUCAAGGGCUACUCCAGUUUGCAGUGCCCGUGUUCCCCACCGCAGAGAGAGAUUUGCUGGGGAUUCAGCAGCUGUUGAACGGUUCUGAAGCCAGCCUGCACCAGCUCACUGCCCUGCUGGACUGCCGGAGCCUGCACAAGGACUACCUGGACGCGCUGAUCGGUGUGUGUUAUGAUGGGGUCGAGGGGCUGCUCUAUCUCAGCCUCUUCUCACUGCUGGCAGCCACUGCCUUCUGUGCCAUGCUGUGUGCCAUCCCCCAUGCCUGGAGACACUUUGAUAACAGGGACCGUGAUUAUGAUGACAUCGACGAGGAUGACCCCUUCAACCCCCAGGCGCGGCGCAUCGCGGCCCACAGUCCCGUGCGGGGACAGAUCCACAGCUUCUGCAGCUACAGCAGCAGCAUGGGCAGCCAGAGCAGCCUGCAGCACCCCGCACAGGCCGUGUCUAACGCACCCGUCUCCGAGUACAUGAACCAGUCGGUGCUGUUCGGAGGGAACCCUCGCUAUGAGAACGUGCCCCUGAUAGGGAGAGGCUCCCCUCCCCCCUCGUACUCCCCAAGCAUGAGGGCCACCUACCUCUCUGUGACUGACAACCAGCUGAGGCACUAUGGGAGCGAUUUGCAGGUGUAGGCAUGCCCUGGAGUCCUCCAUCUGUCUGAAUCCUGCACUGACUGACUGCUGGGGUGGAGGAAUCAGUGACAAAUACUCACUCAGGCUCUUAAUGACAUUAGAGUUUAGCUUGAAAGUGGGGGACAAUAUCUGUCUCUUCUCCCUCUCUGUCCAUCUCACCGUGGGACCGCUAUUCUUAAUGGGGGCAUUUUAUUAUUUUAUUAUGUUGCUCUGUAUAGAUUACAUACAGAGAUGCAGGCCACACUUUAAUUUAAGAAUGAUUAUUUCUAAAAUUAAUUAAUCAUUACCAUUGUAAUACUAAGAUUGCCCUAAUUACUGUACAUGUUCUUAUAAAACUGUUCUUGCUAUAGCCAGUAAUUAUUAAUAGGUAUUUAAUAUUGUUUAUAACACAGUUAUGGAGGUGUUGUUGUUUGUAUAGUAGCCACACACUAAAGUUUUUCUGAUAUAUGCUGUAACAGCGGAGUCACUAGGGCAUUGUAAAACCCUCCUAUGAAUGCCCUAGUGAGCGUUGCUUAGUCAGCCAAGGCAUCUGUACCAACAACUAUGCCAUCUUUUAUUAAAACUAUCAAGGUUAAUUGCAAUAAUGUAUUGAAAAUAUGCAUAUUUUAAAGGAGUGUACUUUUAUUGCAGAGUUGUAAUAAAUUGGGAACAAGAAAUACCCCACAGUGAAAUUGCUUCCAGGAUAACUAAUGAAAUAAUUUCAAAACUGAAAAGCAUCGCAGAUUAGCCUGUGUGUAUACAAGCAUACACAGGUCUGUGUGCAGGUGUGCAGCGUUGGAAAGUGUUUCAUUAAAACAUUCCUAAACUAAUCACUCAUUUUAAUAUGAAGUACUUUUUAAAACCGUUAAAAAAAAUAUUUUUGGUUUUAUUCUUUUAAUGAUUUUUUGUGUGUGUAAAGGAAAAAUUGAUGCCAUCAGUGCUAGAACUUAAUGUAAUAAUUGAUUUGAACUGUAUACAUGGAACUGAAGUUUCAUGUGUACUCAGUCAAAACAAGGACACGAAAUUAAGGACUCCAGGCUUCUUACUUUCACAAUACUGGGACUUAACAAGUACUCACACUCAGUUAAUUAACAGCGUGUUAACAGAGUGUUGAGAGUCUGUUUUGAAAACGCAGGUUUAUUUGCAAAUUUUGAGUUGCAAGUUGGAAUUCAAUAUAAGGAUUAUGUAGAAGAGUACUUCUUCUCUCGCAUGGGCCUACAGUCUUUCCCUAUCCAUGUUGUUAUGACCAUGCAGGGGGGUUCACCCCCUCUCUGCCUGCCUGCCUGCCUGCCUGCCUGCCUGGUCCAAAACUGUUCUCCAGCACUUGCACACACUGUAAUUCUGAAUGACUGUUUGAACUCUUAAAAGCACAAGGCAGACCAAAUCUGAUCAUGUGCAUGACUGGGUCAUGGACCAAUGCCGUCUUUCCAUCAGUCUUCCAAGACCUCCUAGUUUAUAAAAACAAAAACGCCUUGUGUCUGUGUGUGUAUCGUUUCUAAUAUGAAGCAGUUCAACUCUGGUCUGGGCUGCACUGCUACACUAUCAGAUGGAUAGGAGGCUUUAGCCCCUCCCACUGAAUGACUGUUAUUGGGUCUUACAAACAAAAUAAUCCUCAUCUAUUUGCUAUCUUGGUGUGCCUGUUCAGAAAUGCAUUUUUUUUUUCUAUUUAGACAUAUUUAUCUUUUUAAAUCCGAACAAUUUCUGUAAAUAUCUUGUAUGAUAAUAACGUUGAUUUUUAUGUCUAUGUGCCACAAGUGAUUUUACGCAUCUAAUAGUUAUGUCUUGCUAGGAUGAAGGUGCAUGUCCAAUCAGAUCGCCAGGUUGCUUACAAAGCCUUGGAUGUACAAACAUGAUUCUCUGCACCAAACGUUGUGACACAAGAUGUCAUGGGGGGGGCUUUCAUUGUGGAGAAAGAAGCUUCGUGCAGCAUUGUAACGCAGGACACACAAGACAGAUGGUGUCCUUCAGUUCUGCUGGUUAUGUUUUUUCCACAUCAGCAGCUGAUUUUAUAACCACUGGUCUGUAGAGUUGAGAACCAGCCUAGCAAGUAAGCAGGGUUAAAGCCCAGUAUCCAUGGCUAAUGACAUUGGAACCGGUUAAGUAGCCACUGUGGCUUCUGGUCUUUGGGCCGGCCUGCUGUUUUCUCCUCCACAGACUCCACAACCUUCACAGAAUCACUACCGGUUACCUCAGGUCCUACUGCGAGCCCUGCCUUUUAUGCACACUGGAAUGCAAUUGGCAGCUCACAAAUCAAGCCUCAAACUCCCUGUUAUCAAAGUUAGCGAGGGGGGUGCGGUAGAUAGAUGUAAUCAACAGCAUAGCUGAGUGGAGUUCUAUCACAGAUUUAACAUUGGGGCUUAAAUGAUUCCCACUUUUUAAAGUUUUUAUGGUUUGCCUUUUAUUCUUAUUAGGGCAUAGCGCCACCUGGUGGCCACUGUGCAUUUUUAGAUGUAGUUUAACUCCUUGGCAUUCCAGAUUGAGUGCAGUUAAAGUGCAGUAAAUUGCAAAUGUGGGAAUGGCGAACUCUCAGUUAUUCAAGUAGAUGGGGACAAAUAUUUCAGUGCUGGUUGCUAGCAAGGCCCACUGUCUUCCAGAGGAGAAAAUUCAGCAAUCCUGAGCCCCUCCCGGACUGAGCCGGUCUGCUUUUUUAAAUGUGUGGUUCUGUAGAACCCCCUGUAUGUACAGUAUGUGUUUUUAGAUGUGUGGUUUUGUAGAAUCUCCUGUAUGUAUGUUGUUUUUUAAAAGCAUGUAACUUGUUUCGUUGUGGCACCUUGCAGUGGGGCCUGGUUUUUAUGUAUUAUUGUUCCAGUACCCCCCCCCCCACCCCCC